GCAAGAUUAAAACUCAAAGGAAUAGACGGGGACCCGCACAAGCGGUGGAGCAUGUGGUUUAAUUCGACGAUACGCGAAGAACCUUACCUGGCCUUGACAUAGAAAGAACUUUCCAGAGACGGAUUGGUGCUAGUUUACUGGAGCUUUCAUACAGGUGCUGCACGGCUGUCGUCAGCUCGUGUCGUGAGAUGUUGGGUUAAGUCCCGCAACGAGCGCAACCCUCGUGUUUAGUUACUAACAGUUCGGCUGAGGACUCUAAACAGACUGCCUGGGUAACCAGGAGGAAGGUGAGGACGACGUCAAGUCAUCAUGGCCCUUACGGCCAGGGCUACACACGUGCUACAAUGGGGUAUACAAAGAGCUGCAAUACGGUGACGUGGAGCAAAUCUCAUAAAAUAUCUCCCAGUUCGGAUUGAAGUCUGCAACUCGACUUCAUGAAGUUGGAAUCGCUAGUAAUCGUAGAUCAGCAAUGCUACGGUGAAUACGUUCCCGGGUCUUGUACUCACCGCCCGUCACACCAUGGGAAUUGAAUUCAUUCGAAGCGGGGAUGCUAAAAUAGCUACCUUCCACAGUGGAUUUAGUAACUAGGGUGAAGUCGUAACAAGGUA
rnacentral:rRNA from 1 species